rnacentral:misc_RNA from 1 species
AAUAAACCAUAUAACACUUUCCUAAAACACAACCUAAACUUAUAUAUUUACAAAUAAAAAAUCAACAACCUUUCUUAAAUAAUACUCUAUCUUAACAAAAUAUAUAUUUUCAAAUAUUACUUCAUAAUAUAUAUUAAUUUCAACAAUUUAAAAUUCUAUACUUCUAAUAAAUAUUAAAAAAUACCUAACUAACACUAAAAAAAAUAAUAACUA